rnacentral:rRNA from 1 species
GACGAACGCUGGCGGCGUGCCUAAUACAUGCAAGUAGACCGCACAGUUUAUACCGUAGCUUGCUACACCAUAGACUGUGAGUUGCGAACGGGUGAGUAACGCGUAGGUAACCUGCCUGGUAGCGGGGGAUAACUAUUGGAAACGAUAGCUAAUACCGCAUAAUAUUAAUUAUUGCAUGAUAAUUAAUUGAAAGGUGCAAUUGCACCACUACCAGAUGGACCUGCGUUGUAUUAGCUAGUAGGUGAGGUAACGGCUCACCUAGGCGACGAUACAUAGCCGACCUGAGAGGGUGAUCGGCCACACUGGGACUGAGACACGGCCCAGACUCCUACGGGAGGCAGCAGUAGGGAAUCUUCGGCAAUGGACGAAAGUCUGACCGAGCAACGCCGCGUGAGUGAAGAAGGUUUUCGGAUCGUAAAGCUCUGUUGUAAGAGAAGAACGGGUGUGAGAGUGGAAAGUUCACACUGUGACGGUAUCUUACCAGAAAGGGACGGCUAACUACGUG